UGGGGAAUAUUGCACAAUGGGCGCAAGCCUGAUGCAGCCAUGCCGCGUGUGUGAAGAAGGCCUUCGGGUUGUAAAGCACUUUCAGCGGGGAGGAAGGCGAUAAGGUUAAUAACCUUGUCGAUUGACGUUACCCGCAGAAGAAGCACCGGCUAACUCCGUGCCAGCAGCCGCGGUAAUACGGAGGGUGCAAGCGUUAAUCGGAAUUACUGGGCGUAAAGCGCACGCAGGCGGUCUGUCAAGUCGGAUGUGAAAUCCCCGGGCUCAACCUGGGAACUGCAUUCGAAACUGGCAGGCUAGAGUCUUGUAGAGGAGGGUAGAAUUCCAGGUGUAGCGAUGAAAUGCGUAGAGAUCUGGAGGAAUACCGGUGGCGAAGGCGGCCCCCUGGACAAAGACUGACGCUCAGGUGCGAAAGCGUGGGGAGCAAACAGG
rnacentral:rRNA from 1 species